rnacentral:rRNA from 1 species
GACGAACGCUGGCGGCGUGCUUAACACAUGCAAGUCGAACGGUGAACUCCGCUUGCGGGGGGAUCAGUGGCGAACGGGUGAGUAACACGUGGGCAACCUGCCCUCAGCUCUGGGAUAACUCCAAGAAAUUGGGGCUAAUACCGGAUAUGACCGCUGACCGCAUGGUCUGGUGGUGGAAAGAUUUAUCGGCUGGGGAUGGGCCCGCGGCCUAUCAGCUUGUUGGUGGGGUAGUGGCCUACCAAGGCGACGACGGGUAGCCGGCCUGAGAGGGUGACCGGCCACACUGGGCCUGAGACACGGCCCAGACUCCUACGGGAGGCAGCAGUGGGGAAUAUUGCGCAAUGGGCGAAAGCCUGACGCAGCGACGCCGCGUGGGGGAUGACGGCCUUCGGGUUGUAAACCUCUUUCAGCAGGGACGAAGCGAAAGUGACGGUACCUGCAGAAGAAGCACCGGCCAACUACGUG